UGGCUGAACUUGGUGUAGCGCGGGAUGCGACUUAAGAGCAAGACCACUUCGUUAGGGAUUGGAUUGUAGGCGCGGGCAAUUAUGACGGCAAGCCGUUUCACAGACUAUGACUUUAUGACCUGCAUGACCUUGACACUUUGAUACUACUGACACGGCACGCCGUCGAGUUGGUGGUGGUAGCUUGGUAGCGAUACGAGUUGAUUUGUGUUCCUUCUUUUGUUGAUCGAGCGCGACAAGAGCGCUUCUCCCUUACCAGUAGGGGCCAUCCCCUCAAGAAAGCGGCCGAGCAAGGGCU
rnacentral:lncRNA from 1 species